AGACCUCAACAGCCUCCUCUCCUCCUUCUCUUCCAACCAAUCGGACUCUGGCUUUUACAACUCUUCCCUUGGACUCCAACAAAGUGAAUGCAAUAGCAUUGUGCAGAGGAGACCUCGGACUUGAAUCCUGUUGUAGUUGUGCCCGCGAUUCUGCUGAGAUUAUCCUGCGAAAUUGUUCGGGGAAAAAGGAAGCAAUCUUAUGGUCAGAGCCUUGCAUGUUACGGUACCGUACUCGCAGAACUUAAUAUCUGGUAUUGAGGAAGAGGACCCUGUCAAGUAUGUGCCCAGCCCGAAUAACGCGUUAAACGCAACGAUGUUCGGGCUGGUGCUUAAACACGUACGUGUUGGAAAUUUUAAGUGACACAACUGCUUUAGUGAAUUCUCGUCAAAAUUUUGCAACGGGACAUGCAACUGUUCCAGGAGGUGAAACGAUAUAUGCACUUGUGCUGUGCACUCCGGAUAUAGACAAGGGAAAUUGCAGUAAUUGCCUUGAGAUUUGCAUCUCGAUCUGUUAUUCCACGAUGUUAAUUGUGGUAGAAAGCAAGGAGCUAGAAUUCUUAAACCAAGCUGUAAUAUAAGGUAUGAGGUCAGUCAAUUCUAUGAGACUACAGCUGAUUCAGUAGUAAAUGUUUCAGCUCAAGUUACUCCAGCAACUCCAACAAUUCAAGAAACUCCAGCUCCAGUUCCACCUAAGCAAGGGCAGAAGAGUAACACAAAAAAAAAAAAACUAUUAUCAUCAUCAUUGUGGUUGUCAUUGCUUUUAUAACUAUGCUUCUCGGUGGCUUAUGCAUUUUCUUACGAGUCAAGCAACCAAGGGUAAAACUUGAAGAUCAUGAUAUUUCCGAAGAAGUUAGUUUCGUGGAUUCAUUACAAUAUGAUUUUGAAAAUAUAAGAUCUGCAAAGGAUCAAAGGAUGACUUUUUUGAUCAAAAUAAGCUUGGCCAAGGUGGAUUUGGAGCUGUUUAUAA